AAUUCUCAACCUUAUCAGCUUUUGUUGAUAAUGGCUUGGAUGUGGGGGUUUAUUGCUGGCUUCUAACGAGGUUGGCUCCCCUUAAAUACAUUAGCUGGUUGCCUUGUGCAGACAUGUCUAUUGGUGUGAUAAUUAUCUACGCUGUGGACUUUCUGCCAGUAUUUAGCACCGCUUCUAACUGUCUGUUAACUUGGACAACAUAUGACA
rnacentral:misc_RNA from 1 species